CACAGGGUAUGUUCCAAAGUCUGCUAACUCAACUCCAGAAAGCUUUUCUCUUCUAGACUGAUGGGUCUGUUCUUCUAGUAUCUUGACCAGGGGCAACGUGGUGUGAUAAAACGUAGGAGAUGGAUCAGGAGGAUGCCUCUGUGAAACAGAAAGCAACGGUGCCCUGGAAUCGGAACCUGAACCAGAUCACGGAGGAGCACAUGGCCUGUAAAAUCCCGUAUUUCUGGCCAUCCGAAACCUCCUCCUCAGCAGCCACAAACACUGCCCAUGCCAAAGGACUCUGGGCUCUGGACUGACCUUCCUGGGAUGGAGGUUGUAAGCCUGUUGCUGCAAAAGCCAAACAGCCUGGUCUGUUAAAAACAGUUCAGUGCCAUGAAGAUGCCAGGCGCCAUCUGGCAGGAUGCUGCUGCCUCUCCCUAGCAACGGCUCCCACAGCUUGUCUCUGGUUACCUUGCCUGCUUCCCUAGUUACAGCACUCCCAUUCUCAGUGCACCUCUGACACCACCCCACUGAUCGGAAGCCUUCCACAUCAAUCCCAGACCAUCGUAUGCCACAGACUGCCAACCUCAAAGUCCAUUAGUCAGCCCCCAGUGCAAGCUAGUAGUAAAGCCCCAACAGAGUUCAGCCUUGGACAUAUAUUUGAAGCCUCUGAAAGCCUUAUAGAGCUAUUAAACCCCCUCCCCAAAUACCAGAUUAGGAUUCACUUUCCUAGUGUAAAGCAGCACUUCUUAAAACAAUGCAUCUGGCCCAAGGGACUUGUCUAGGUUUCGAAUCCCUAAGCUAACCUGAGCAAUGCACAAGGUUGAGACCCCAUCCAAUGCGCAAAAGUUAAUUCUUCACCUAGCAAUGCCCCAGCAUCUACAUACCAUUUAUUUUAAAUGAGUAAUUCAUUUAGAUUUUUGUUAGGUUUUCCUAAAAUACAUUUUGUAAUGAAAUUUCAUGAAAACAAACCUAAUUAACGUUUAAUCUUCCAGGAAAGCUCUGUGGAGCCACAACAAGGCCUCCGCCAAUGGACUGUAUUUGUGUGACCAUCACCCGGCCCCGACUGAACACUGUGCUCCUUUAGAAAUUACAUUUCUCCCAUGCCUCCAAAGUACUACCCCCAAAAUACUCCAAAGUAAAACCCCAAAAUAGUCAGUUAUGUAAUAAGAAUAUCAUUUAUCUUUUUUUCAAUUAAAUCUGCAGUUUAUUCUUUAUCUGGUCCUCCAUUUCACCCUGUUACACAUGAGGUCUGGGCACUGGCAGCUCGUUAUUAAAACCACCCUAGCGAAUCACCAGCUGCAGUUGAAUGAGAGGGCAAGAAAGCAAAGUCCCCAAGAAACUUGCCUUUCAUUUGAAAGCCAGCACACCUUCUAAGAUUUUCCUGAAUGGUUCUACUUAUCCCUAAAUAUCCUGCCAUAGAAACUGGCCCGCCUCUAGGCUUCCGGUGCCAGAAUCUCCCCACCCCAUGUCAAUCAUCCACAAUACCCACCCACUUCCUCUCUGUCUAUCGGUAGCAUGCCCAGUUCUUAAAAUCACAUUAGAACCUGCUCUCUCCACAGUUCCCAGUUCAGUGGUCCUGCGUGCCUCUAAUGUCUUAUUAUUUAUCUACACAUUUAUCCAAGUGAAGGCAACUUGUAUUUUGUUACUUAAUUUUAUUUGCCAAUAGCCUUUCAGAUACCUCUCCCUGUCAUCCACCCCACCCCUCCUCACCUCCUACGCCAGUCCAUCCUUUACCUGCCUUUCUUCCUGUUGUGACACUUUUCACAUAACAGAUUCAAUAAACAGUUGGUGUUUGGCUCUGA